rnacentral:piRNA from 1 species
UCUCAAUCUUGUAUGUUUCACGCCUGC